CUCUCUCUCCUCUCUCUCUCUCUCUCUCUCUCUCUCUCUCUCCUUCUUCUUCAUUGCCAAGGCCAUCAGAAUCGGUCCUCCCUUUCUCGCCAUCAUUCUGCUUUGUUAUGCAAUGCACAGUCUUCCCACGGUAACUAACUGGUGUUUGAGACCUAUCGUAACACUGCUCACCAGUGGUAGGUGCAGAUUCACAGUGUCAUAGCAACCGUCUGCCACUCUUGCUGCCUUUUCCUCGCUACAGACAUCUGCUCCAUGGGAUUUUACAGCUUUUCCUGCUUUUCUGGAAUAUCACUUGCUAGGCUCAUCUAAGACGGAGAGCUGUCUUCUCUUACCAAAUUUGGUGGAGGCUGGAAGUCACUGAGAGAUUAUCAGCCAGCCCAUCAUGGAGACAGUGUCGAUAUCGGAGCUUCACUGAUGGGCGAGGGGCUUUUUUGAAAGGCACUAAUUGCACUGACUCCCAAAGAAGUAAAAAGCAGCGUAGACUUUGCUAAGCUGUUGAGGGAGGUGAAGGAGUUUCAUCCAAACAGUGACAGGGAACUCAAGAGAGAGAGACGAAGAGUAGAAAUGGUGGGAAGGCAAGAGGGAGGAAAUGAUGGAUUUAUCCUCACCCCCCUAACAGAAGCUUCUAGCCCUUUAGCAGCAGCAAUGCAAACCAGCUGAUUUAAAAACACAAACAAACAAAAAAAAACACUGUAAAGACAAACUUAAUCAAAGGGGAAGUUGAGGGGGUGAGAGGUUGCUGAACCUGACAGGUGAUGCCAUAGACUGGAGGACUGAGAAGUAACACAAGGAGGUUUUAACUGGAAGCAUCGCAAAUCCUUUACAACACCACUGGCUUCUAUUUGUCUCUUCGUCACUAGAUCUGUUGCUCACUGGCACUAGAACUGUGCCGACAUACCCUGCCUCUCUUCCUCCCUCCUAGUUCUUCACACAUAGAAAGCUCUUUAAGCUGCGGUAUUCCUGUGCAGACUCAAAAGGCAUGCUGGAUGAUGCCGUCUCACACCUAAGGAUAAGUGUCCCCUUGACAGGUUAGGUGAACACCAGGAUCAUGGGCACCACAGUAAUCACGCUUGACGACGUGCAGGCACUGGAGGUUAAGGAGGAGCAAGAGGAGUCCAUCUUGGCCUUGCUAGGCAUCAUUGGCACGUUCCUUAACCUAUUUGUAAUAGUUUUUGUUUAUAUCUACACCACACUGUGAAGUACCCAAAAGAUAAAAUAAAGGAUUUCUAAAAAAAUAAACAACAUCAGAGAAGACUUUCGAACGGCUGGUUAAUUAGAAAGCAACACGUGUUUGGAAAGGACUCUGACAUGAAUAUCUUCUGUAGAGAGAGGAGGAAGAAACUGGACAUACUGGCUAGGAAAGAAGACAACGAAGCCAUAUUAGCAAAGCACAGCCAUGGGUCAGGGAGAUAACACAGGCUGGAAGACAUGGCAUAAACAGAAUGACGCCAGAUGAACUCCAGCAAAGCUCCAGCUCCAGACUCGCUCCCCCAGUGGCCUGAUAGGAAGUACAAACUUGCUCUGAUUUUCUUGGACUUCUGGCAUAACUGUAUAAAUGAAGUCAGUGGCAAAUACAUGUAUAAUUUUUACGUAAUUUUAAAGUUGAGGGGUUGCAAUUGCUACCUGCUUUUAAGCAACAUGAUUAAAAACAGAACCUGUAAAACCAAUGAUAGGAAGCUGCUUUGGAGACACUGUUGUCCUCCAAUCAGUCUUCAGGGACAAAACUGUUACAGCUUCAGGGACCCUGUAAACCAUCCUUCCCCAGGAAUGUGCUGUACUGUCAUUUCCUACAAAAUUCGCUGUUUCACAUCCUUUCUCAAGCAUCAACACAUUCCAUUUUAACAAAAUAUAUUCUAUUCUAUAUGACAUCGGGUUGAGGAUGGUUUUCUAGAAAUGCUACUUUAAGAAAAUUAUAUUUUUAUAGAAAACAGAUAUGUCUCAACUGCAAGAAAUUAAAUAGCAAGAACAUUGUAAUUAAACCAUGAAGCUUGUUUACUUGAAACUGGACCUCUGCUCUCUUUUCCUGAAUCUCUGUCUACCUUUUAAAAUGUGUGAGACUGAGGGUGGGAUUCUCUUCAUUUGUUUGUUCAUCUUUAUUUAUUUAAAACCCCUUUUAUAAAUAUUUGAACAAAGUCUAGAUGUCUUGUGCAAUAGGGGACAUUCGAACAAUAAACAUCACAGCAUACCAA